rnacentral:misc_RNA from 1 species
UCAUCUGAAGGCUGCCAGUGGAAGA